AUGACCGGUGCGCUCGCCUUUGUGAGGGAUCCUGGAAGCAGCAGUCAGACCACUGACCACCCUGAGAGGCCGCCGGGCGUGAAUAUUUUCCAUCUUUCCGUGCUCUCUUCUUCUUGUGCAGGAGGGAAACUUACCUUCACCCAAAAAUGGAACACAGACAAUACUCUUGGGACAAAAAUCUCUUGGGAGAAUAAGUUGGCUGAAGGGUUGAAACUGACUCUUGAUACCAUAUUUGUACCGAAUACAGGAAAGAAGAGUGGGAAAUUGAAGGCCUCCUAUAGAAGGGAUUGUUUCAGUCUUGGCAGUAACGUUGAUAUAGAUUUUGCAGAACCAACCAUCUAUGGUUGGGCUGUGUUGGCCUUUGAAGGUUGGCUUGCAGGAUAUCAGAUGAGUUUUGACACGGCCAAAUCCAAACUGUCACAGAAUAAUUUUGCCCUGGGUUACAAGGCUGCAGACUUCCAGCUGCACACUCAUGUGAAUGAUGGCACUGAAUUUGGAGGUUCUAUCUACCAGAAGGUGAAUGAGAAGAUUGAAACGUCAAUAAACCUUGCUUGGACUGCUGGCAGUAACAACACCCGUUUUGGCAUUGCUGCUAAAUACAAGCUGGACUGUAGAACUUCUCUAUCUGCUAAAGUAAGUAAUGCCAGCCUGAUUGGACUGGGUUAUACUCAGACCCUUCGACCAGGAGUCAAACUGACCUUAUCAGCUUUAAUUGAUGGAAAGAACUUCAAUGCAGGAGGCCACAAAGUUGGGUUGGGAUUUGAACUGGAAGCUUAAUGUGGUUUUGAGUAAAGCAUCAGGUUUGUCCCUGGAAGUGAAGAGAAAUGAACCCACUGUUUUAGCCUUAAAAUUCUUUUGUGAAAUUUCAAAAGUGUGAACUUUUUAUUCUUCCAAAGAAUUGUAAUCCUCCCCACACUGAAGUCUAGAGAUUGCAGGUCCAUCCUAAGGGAGGUACUUGAAGGCAUGCCUGGAAGUUGUCAUGUUUGUGCCACAUUUCAGUUCAGUUCUGCAGUGUUAAUUUAAGUGUGUUCCUCAGCAACAAUGUAGUGUCAUGUUAAAGGAAACAACCCGACCCUCCAGUUGUACAUCACGUCCUGCAUGUCCCACACCUUUUUCAUGACCUUUUAAUAUAUUGGUCUCUGUGCUGUAGUGGAAUCUUUGGUUUUGCAUCAGAGUAAAAUAAAAUAAACCCAUCACAUUUGGAACAUAAUUGCUCAUCUGACAUGCUAGAGGUGGUCUUAUAUUUGAUGUGGUUUGUUCUGAGACUUACUUUCAUAGAUAGGAUUUGUGUUUAAAGUGGUGUCUAAAAUGUCUGUGCUGCUGCCCGUCCUUUCCAGUUCGUUUCCCUCAUUCUUACUGCUCCCAUGGAUCAGGCUGAGGGCAGAACAGUGCUUUGUUCUGCUGGGGAGAAGCACAUCUGCUGAGACCCUCCUUCCUAUUGCGUUGUGAGAGGGCAGUAUCAUCUUGGUAGGUUUGUAAAGGUAUGAGAAAGAGUGAGCAGUGGAAGACAGAGGGAAGAGUGUAAGUGGAGGAAACAGGGCAGGGACGAGAGUUGACAGGAGGCCAGAGCUGGAGGAGCAUGCGGCUGUGGCUCCUCCUGCCUUCAGAAAAGUAUUUUUGGUUCCACUCAAAGUAACCAAAGAGUGGAAGUAUCAGUUUCAAAAAGAAUUGAGUAGACUGUCAUAUCCUCUGGGCUUACUGGUAAACCGUCUUUCUAAAAGUAGGCCGCUUUUAAAAAUCUCUUUCUCUUUUUUUAAUACAGGAGUAAUUAAUAUAUGCUGGUUGCAACAAAAAAGUUUAGAAGUAAAUUAAAUGAAAGUGAAAAUUCCCA